rnacentral:tRNA from 2 species
GCAGUCGUGGCCGAGUGGUUAGGGCGGUGGACUAGAAAUCCACUGGGGUCUCCCCGCACACGUUGGAAUCCUGUCGAUGCG